UACAGAGGUCUCGAGCGUUAGGCGGAAUCACUGGGCUUAAAGCGUGCGCAGGCGGCGCGUUAAGACAGGUGUGAAAGCCCCGAGCUUAACUUGGGAAUUGCGCUUGUGACUGGCGUGCUGGAGUGUGGCAGAGGGAGGUGGAAUUCCACGUGUAGCAGUGAAAUGCGUAGAGAUGUGGAGGAACACCGAUGGCGAAGGCAGCCUCCUGGGCCAGCACUGACGCUCAUGCACGAAAGCGUGGGGAGCAAACAGG
rnacentral:rRNA from 1 species